CCUACGGGUGGCAGCAGUGAGGAAUAUUGGUCAAUGGGCGGAAGCCUGAACCAGCCAAGUCGCGUGAGGGAUUAAGGCCCUGCGGGUUGUAAACCUCUUUUGCCGGGGAGCAGUGGGCCGGACGCGUCCGGACCGGGAUAGUACCCGGAGAAAACGCAUCGGCUAACUCCGUGCCAGCAGCCGCGGUAAUACGGGGGAUGCGAGGGUUAUCCGGAUUUAUUGGGUUUAAGGGGUGCGUAGGGGGGCGUUUAGGCCGUCGGUAAAAUGUGGGGGCUCAACCCCGGCCUGCAGUCGGAACUGGGUGCCUUGAGUGGGCGAGAAGUAUGCGGAAUGCGUGGUGUAGCGGUGAAAUGCAUAGAUAUCACGCAGAACCCCGAUUGCGAAGGCAGCAUACCGGCGCCCUACUGACGCUGAGGCACGAAAGUGCGGGUAUCGAACAGGAUUAGAUACCCUAGUAGUC
rnacentral:rRNA from 1 species